rnacentral:lncRNA from 1 species
UUUUCACUCUGUUUAUGCAUUGUUCUCCUGAGCUUGCUGAACAUUUUUUUUAUGAUGAUUAUUUUGAAUUUUCUGUCAAGUAAUUCAUAUUUCUCUGUUUCAUUAGGGUCACUUUCUGGAGUUUUACCUUGUUCUUUUGUUUGGAUUGUUUCCUAUUUACUUCAUUUUCCUUGACUCUGUGUUGAUACAUAUGCAUUAGUAAAAAUGCCACCUCUCCCAGUCUUCAUGCAUUGGCCACAUACAGAAGAACUUCACCAAUGAACCUAACCAGACCUUAUAUGGGCCUUUCAAACUUUCAUGCUAGCCCAAACUUCCAUCAUUGCUCUUUGUGGCCCCUAGACAUCUAGAUUAUGCUCUGAUGGGUUCCAUCAGCGGUUUACAUCAGGCUGGGGAGGAGGGUCUUUGGCAGGUGCUUGUGUUCUAGUUCAAACCACCUUUGUUCUCAGUGGCUCUUGGGUAACUAGAAUAUGCUGGAUCCCAUCAGCACUCCAAGACAGAAGCCAUCUCUUGGGCAACCCCAGAAAAGUUUGAAUGUUUGAUAUGCAGUCCAACUCUUUCCCUCCCCAGGGAGAAGCUGGGGGCUGGCUUUUUUUUUUGUCCCAAGCUGCUCACUCUGUAGUGAGCCAGGACUCCCCCUGCAGCAGUUAUCUGCUUGCAAGUUCAAACUGCUAUCUUUGUUCUCUUCAACCCCCAAGGGUCUAGCAUAUGCAAGGUCCCAUCAGUGUCCCAAGACAGGCAAGACACAAGCAGUCCCUUGCUCAUUAUCUGGAAAAGUUGCUAUGAUAUAUAUGUGGUCUUACUCUUUCACUCCUCAAGGAGAAGCUGGGAACUGGGGGUUUUCUCCUCAACAUACGGCACUGUGCUGGGGGUAGGGAUUAUGGUGAAAGGGUGUCUCCAAUUUCCCUACCAGUUUUGAUGUGGCUAGUUUCACAUUCACCUGGAAUGCAAGAGCCUCUCAACCAGUUUCUGGAUUUCUCACAAAGGGGAUUGAUCUAUGUAUUGCUGCUGAAUCGGUAUGUCCAUGGGGGGAAGGAAAGUCCAGGGCUUCUUUUUCUGCCAUCUUGCUGAUGUCACUCUCAAUGGAGUUUUUAAUCAAGGUAUUGAUAUAAUCAAAGAGAUAGUUUCUGAAAUAUUUAUCCAGCAUGAGUUUUAUGGGCUUGCUAACAAGCGUAUUGGUGCAGAUGAGCCACAGCUAGGUGUAUGCACCAGAAAGUUCAGUUCUUUUCACUAACAUAAGGUCAUAGAAAGUACCUCAGCUUCAUUGGUCUCGAUGAAUACUAAUGAUUAGGGAUAGUUUGUGCAAUGUAUUUUUACUUCUUCCUCCCUUCCUUCAUCCAUCCAUACAUACAAUCAACAUUAUCUCAAAAAGAUUAAUACUUUUCUAUGUGUCCAAAGCUAUACAUUCUGAUUACCCCAAUUCCUAAGUCAUGUAAAAUGGACAUAUGAUUUCAGGGAAUUUAUAAACAUAGGUAAAUAGUAUCUGAGUGACAUGAUAAAGCUUGAAGGCAAAAUCAGGUCUCCCAGUUACAAGUUUUUUCAACUUGAACAACUCAAAUUAAUAAAAUAAUGAACAGAUAAACUCUUUGAUUUUGGUUAUGGAGACUCUAGGUCUAUACUAAGCAAAGUGAAGUGGAGAAUUAAGGCAAGUGAGUCCCCAAACUCUCUUUUUAAAAGAAAAAGUAGGAUUUUAAAAAGUGUUUGGAGUGGUGAAGAUUGUGGAUUGACCAAACUUAGCCAAAUUAGUAAUAUCUAGUAAUUAGUCACAGAAUAAUUAUUUGAUUCUUUACUCAAUUUUCCCCAUGUAGACAUUAUAAAUAAUAAAAUGCUUAUUUAGAGGAUAUAAGAGCUUCCAACAUACCUGAUUUUCUAUCUAUGGAAAUAGUCAUGUCCCAUUAUGGUCACUUGAUCCUUUAUGGGUCAAUGAUUACAGAAUGCCUCCUCAUAACCAUCCUCUAGCACACUCCAUAAAUAUGCCCAAGAUUUGCAUCUGAAGUGUCCCAGCAUCAGGCCUUGGAUCUCUUCUCUUUUCUACCAACACUCACCUCUUAAGUGAUCUCAUCUAGUCUCAUAGUUUUAAACAUCGUCUAUAUGCUGAUGACUCACACAUUUGCAUCUCCAGUCUAAAUCUCUAUGAAAUCCAGAGCUAUAAAUUCAUUUGUCUAUUUGACAUCUCAACCUGGAUUCCUAAAAGGCAUUUCAACUAUAAUAAGUUCAGCUGAUUUUCUUUUUGAACCUUGCAUUUCCAUGCAAUAAAUGACAACCCUAUUCAUCCAGUUGGUCAGGCCAGAAAUAUUGUCAUCCUUGUUUCCUCUCUUUGUACUUCACUUUCAAUUCAUUAGCAGAUUCUCCAGAAUUUUUACCACUUACUACAACGUCCACUGCUACCAUACUAGUUCAAGCCAUUAUCAUACCUUGCCUGGAUUAUUGCAAUGCUGUCCCUAAAUGGUCUCUAUACUUCUGCCCUGGACCCCCUACAGUCUUUUUCGACUCAGUAGCUAGAUUGAUUUGCCCACAUAGAAUAGUUUCAGGCUUCUCAUCUCUUUAGCAUAACUUUCUUGCUCUGCAAAGGCUACCUACCAAGCUCAGUUCUGGUUGACACAUUAGGCCUGGAUUGGUGUGGCUUUGUGCCCAGAGCAAUCUGGUUUUAUUCACUAACAGCAGCUUACAGUUUCAUUUGUACCAUCAGAGAAAAAUGUAUGGAACUUCGCAGACAGCAUAAUGCUCUAGCAUAUGAAAGAACUGCAGCAUUCCUUUCAGAACUUUCCAUAUGUGACCAGCUAGAAUUUAAUGGCUCUUGGUCCAUUUCAUUGAGGCGAAGAUAUGGAUUGAGUGGAUAAUUUCAAGAGGCCAAGCUUUGUCACUCAUUGAUGAUAUUCACUUAAAAUGCAUUUGAAUACUGUAAUUCUUGAUUUGCUGGUAUCUUACAUCUGUGACAAAGGCUUAUUAAACCUGUUUUUCUGAUCACAGUAACCUAUGCUGCGAAUUCUCUCAAUAUUUAUUCCUAGGAAAGGUAAGAUUGCAUUUGCUUCUCAUCCAUCUUAAUAAACUAUACAAAUGCCAACUGUGGUGUGCUUUUCCACUGUAUGAACCCAGUUGUGUGGUUGCAUGUCAUUAACUAUGGGAAUAUAUCUGUCUCCUUUGCAUUCAACAUGAGCAUUUUCCUACUUAGUUUUCAGAGCCCCUUGAGAUGUGGUGUCAGUUGCAGGACAUGUAAGCUGACAGGAGAGUGAGUAUCAAUCAAUCAAAUAUUUAUUGAGUGCUUACUACGUGAAAGGCACCGUGCUAAGCUGGGUUUAAGCAGAGUAUUAAGAGGAAUUGGAGGAAAAGUGUUCUUUUUUUAGAAACUCUCAAAGGCUCAAUGUCAGACAGAGGGGGAAAGCUAUAUAGAAUAAUACUUUUCCAGACUAUAGAAAAUUGUGAAUUAGGUGUUUUCGUCUCCAUGUUUAUACUCAUUUCUCUUUUUAGAUUCCCAUUUCUUACAUCUUUUCCUACUUACCCAGGCCCUUCAUACUCCCCACUCUUAUAACAACACUACCCAGUACCACUAUUAUUUCCUUCAAUUGUACUUAGGCCUUCAGCUGGGGGUGGGGCUUACACUUAUCCAGACGUCUUAUUUCCUCAGUGUCAUCCCAUUGGGUUACAACCUGCUCCCCUAGUCUCAUUAAUACAUUAAUGAUCAAAACCAUUUAAUUCAUUUAAUAGGGGCAUCUACAUUUUAAUAGGUAUCCAAUACAUGACAAUAUUUACUUAAAAAAACAAAACCUCUAAUGAUGACAUUAAAAACACUCUGGCAGAUUAGAGGAGGGAGAUUUGCUUUUUAGCUGAGCACGCAUUUCUGGAAUCCUUCAACUCACACUUCUGUCGACAGCCACCUAUUUUUAUCAGAGGUAUAAUUAACUAUAUUCACUACUCAUUUACUCUUUUUCCCAUGGAUUCAAUGUAAAAGAAACUUGCAAUGCUUAAAUUACUCGAUUUCCCUUUCACAUUUUCAUUUAGCAAGUUGCUGAAAAGGAAAAAAAAACCUUUGCAUUUUAAACUCCAAGAACCCUGGAGUUCUUUGUAUUAUUUUUCGUGUAUUUGAAAUUUGUUUAUUGAUGAGCAGGUGGUUGUUUCUUUAGAUUUUCAAUAAACUGCAUUGGCAUUUCCCGAAUCAGAAGAGUUCUCACAUAAAGGUCGUGCUGAAACAUUGAUGGGACUCUCAGAGGUUUUAAAACUACUGUGUUUUGCUCAAAAAUUGAUUGUAAUUUUAGAAAAAGAAAAAAAGACAAAGUAAAUAUAGGCUAGUUACAUGAUGGAUUAGGGUGAGGAGCCGCACGGAAGAAUGGCAGUCAGAGAAUCCUGGACGGCGGCAGAUCUUCAGUGAGGAAGCCUCCCUGAAGUGUCUAUGCCGGGCCACCUUCAUGUAGAUGUCUUGUGUGAGCAAUUGGAGCUGUAUGAGGACUAAGGAAGGAGAGUGGAACUGUGUUCUUCUGACUGUGAAGGGACUUCCCAAGGUGCAGAAGGAGAGACUGACUUUGUUCAUGAGCAACGACACAUCUUCUACACAGAUGGAUGGGAAGAAAGAAGAGAGAGGUGUAGACAAAGAUACAUUUCUAAGUGUGUUUGCAAGGGGGCCAGGAGGCAGACAGCAUGUGACCUGGGGUCCUCUGUGUUCUCUGUACAGCAGGAGAUGAGAACAUGCUGAGUGUUGGAGAAGUGGUGGUCAUCCCACUUGCUGUCCUGUGAUCCCCCACCCCACCUCUGGGACGUUGCCUCUUUUUGCUCUUGUAUCUUCAAUGCCUUUCUUCCUACCAGUUCUUCCAUUCAGCUGGUUAACAACCCCAAGAUUCUUUUAUUCCUCCCUCCAAAAGUUCCCCUGACUCUCAUCCUUCAUUCCCUCUUUCUUGAAACUCUCUCCUACAUGGUUCCUGGGACACCGUAUUCUCUUGGUCUACCUUAUUAUCCUAUUCGAUCUCUAUUUUAUUUUUGAGUUCUUCUCAGACGCUCUUUCCCAGAUUUCUCUACCCUGUUUCUCCUCACUGACUGCUGCAGUCAGCCUCCUUGAAUGUAUGUCUCUCAAUUCUAGCUGCUGUCCUAAGCAAGGCUUGAGCAGAACACCAGGUAUUGAGUAUAAUUAAAAUAUGCUUAUCCUCUCAGAAAUCUAUGUUCAGAAGCACCCUUAAUCCUUUUGCUGCUUGCAUUACACUCAACCUUACAAAAUAAAGUGAUAGAUUUUUAUCCCACGAAAAAUAUAUGCCAUUCAAAAUAAAUCUUAUUACACUGUAUAAUAUACCAAAGUACAACCAGGACCAGAAAGAUGGAAAUAUUUAUCACAUUAUCUUUUACUGCACUUGGCACAUGGGAUUAGACUACUUUACACCGCGAGGAAGCUAUAAAAACAAACACCAGGUCGUCAGCUCCAACUUUUGUAAGGAAAAUUUUUUCCCUGAGAAAUUUAAUACAGUAUGAAACCUGAAAAAAAUGUAAAAACAAUGAGAGAUGGUUUGCAUGGUAAAAUGCAGUGGCAGCUAUCAGAUUUGACUAUAUGAAGUUUACUCACAGGACAGAUAAAGUUGCCUUUUCUUGGGUAAGUGAAUCCACUUCAAACUGAUCAGAAUCCUGGGAUGGAAAAUAAAAAGAAAUGUGAAGGUUCUUCAGGUGCAUGUCAGAGAAAACACUGAGAACCUACCAGAUUUUUAAAUUUAGAAAGUAGAAGGUGUUGAAGUCUCAGACAAUCUGUUUACUUGAUGAUGCUUGAGCUGGGAAAGUCAUGAUUCAUUUCCUGGCCUCACACAGUGAUGAUGACAUCAUCCUCCUGCUUUCAUUUUCACUCUUCAGUUAAUAUAAUAGGACUUUAAUCACUUUGACUAAAAAAAAAAUAACAACUCUCCUUUAAUUCCUCUAAUUUUCAUGAUUACUCAAAAGCUCUGCAGAAAAUCUAUUUUUUAAAUAUCCUAUAGAUGAAAAACCCUGGUAUAAAGUCAUAGGGACUUUAUUAAUAUUAGUAAGAUGACCUGAUUCAAUGCACUAAUAUUUGAGAAAGUUUCCUGAAGAAAUCAGGAAGAAAGUGGUGCUAUUGAAAGGUAAAAUUAACCCCAGUAAUUUCUCUUUACGUUUAAUUAUUUGUAUUAAGAGACCACCACACCGAGAUUCCUCUAAGUGAAGCACACAGCUAUGCUACAGAGUCAUCAGAGAAGUGUGAGUCCCUGUGUUGGCUCUACCUCUGGACACUCUAAUUCAACAGAUCUGCGGUAGGACCUAGAACUCUAUAAUUUAAAAAACGUUCCACAGGGGAUUCUGAUGGGCAGCCCUGCCUGGGAACCACUGGGCUUUGUUGGAUAUUUCCUGCACUCUGGGCCAACACUGGAGACUGGCAAGUAACAAAAAUGUGAGGAAGAGGCAGAGAGCCCAAUUUUUAGGUCAGUGCAUUUGGAAGCUUUUACCGUGGAAUGUAAAGGCAUGUAUAAAAUAUCAUGAACACGAAUGCAAUAAAUGAAUAAAUUCAUCUCCUGCAUUGGUCCCUAAACUUUUUCAUUCCACAAUGUGAGUGUCUUUUUCUAAAUUGAUGGUAGUCCAAUUUGGUGUGAAAAAGUCCACCACUGCCUGACAGAUGAAACGGGGCCCGGACCAUCGAGCUAUUAAUGAGGCACGUCAUUGCACCUGUCAUUUAGGGUCCAUCACUGCAUGCAGAUAAACACACUCCAGCUGUGUAAGUACAAAGAUAAUUUCUCGAAAACCUAUCGGAAUCCUUGGAAAGCUACAGAAUUGGACUCAGCAAACCGGCAGGAAUGAAGGAGGUCAGGCAGCCAAAGCCAUGCCAAAGAACUGCUUGUGGGGUCUCCACUGUCCCUGCUUCUCUGUGGCACCAGCACUCAGAUUGUAAAUCACCAAAUACAGGUCAAGUACCUAUAUCCAUGCCAAAACAGAGGGUGGGAAAUAAAGUAUCUGGCUUUUUCAGCCUCCAUAAGUGGGAGGCAGUUCUGACUGCCACCAAAACUCAUAUGGCAGAAAAUUCCUGGAACAGAAAGGAGGUUCACAUAUAGGGCAGAAAAAAAACCUGUACUAUCUUAUUGUUUGAAGAAUAUGGCUUCUGGUUAGUGAGAUUUUUCUGGUUAAUUUUUAAGCUGAUACAGCAAAUGCUUCUGGACUAUUAGAGUAUUUUCUACUACAAUAAAUGUAGUAAGAUAAUUUAAUGUUCAAAACUUAGCUCUACAAUUCAUUACCAUGCAAUGUUGAGCAAUUUAUAACCUCAUUUAACUUUCUUCAUUUGUAAAUGGUAAUUUCAAUAACUCACUUAGGGUUGUAGCUCAAAUAAAUUGAUGCAUGCUAAGCAAUUUGUAUACUGAAAACACUAAGCAGUCAUUAAGCAUUGUUACUAUUCUUUUGGUACUUAGGUUCAUUAAUUUUAACUUCACAUACUGUAGCUGUUGAUAUAGAUGGCAUUGGGGGUUGUCCUGGAAAUCUAUCUCUUUCUCCUAAAAAUAGAGUAUUAAGAAUUACCAUAAGGGGCUGGCCCGUGGGGCAGUGGUUAAGUUUGUGUGAUCUGCUUUCACAGGUUCGAAUCCCAGGCGUGGACCUACACAUGGCUCAUCCAGCCAUCCUGUGGCAGCACCACGUAUACAGAGUAGAGGAAGACUGGCACAGAUGUUAGCUCAGGAACAAUCUUCCUCACCAAAAAAAGAAGAAUUACCAUGAAGGGAAAGGUUUCCCAGCCAGCGGGUUAUUGUGAAAAGCUGUUCUAAUGUUUGCAGGCCUCUCGCACUCAAGAAUGACAACAGAGUCAGGCUUUUGGAUACUGACUGACAGGAUAUAGCAAAACAAUGGAAUGGCCUUCUUUACCAUAAAACACUGGUGACAGAUCAGUAGAAAGUUAGUGAAUGUAGGAAAAGAAGGAAAAGAAUUGAGAGUUACUAGUUUAUUUGCCACCUUUUUCUUUCUUUUAUAAAAGUAGACGCAAUUUUAUUUUAAUUUCUUGAUUUUUUUUCUUGGAAAAUAAAUAAAU